rnacentral:SRP_RNA from 1 species
GCCAGGUGUGGUGGCGGGCACCUGUAGUCCCAGCUACCUGGGAGGCUGAGGCAGAAGAAUCGCUUGAACCCGGGAGGCCGAGGUUGCAGUGAGCUGAGGUCGCACCACUGCACUCCAGCCUGGGCAACAAAGCGAGACAUUGUCUCAC